rnacentral:rRNA from 1 species
AACGAACGCUGGCGGCGUGCUUAACACAUGCAAGUCGAACGGGACGUUCGUGCUUUUGUGGGCACCUGUGCGUACCGCCUGGUAAGUUACCCGUAGGUUCGCAACAAUUGCCUGUAAGGGGAGCUAAUACAGCUUAGGGUCUUACGAGAAAAGAUCUAUCGCCUUUGGAUGGGCGCUGGUUGGUUUAGCUAGUUGGUAGGGUAAAAGCCUACCAAGGGGACGAUCCAUAGCUGGUGUGAGAGGAUGGUCAGCCACACUGGGACUGAGACACGGCCCAGACUCCUACGGGAGGCAGCAGUGGGGAAUAUUGGACAAUGGGCGAAAGCCUGAUACAGCAAUGCCGCGUGAGUGAUGAAGGCCUUAGGGUUGUAAAGCUCUUUUACCCGGGAUGAUAAUGACAGUACCGGGAGAAUAAGCUCCGGCUAACUCCGUG